CCUACGGGUGGCAGCAGUGAGGAAUAUUGGUCAAUGGACGAGAGUCUGAACCAGCCAAGUAGCGUGAAGGAUGACUGCCCUAUGGGUUGUAAACUUCUUUUAUAAAGGAAUAAAACGCGGCACGUGUGCCUUUUUGCAUGUACUUUAUGAAUAAGGAUCGGCUAACUCCGUGCCAGCAGCCGCGGUAAUACGGAGGAUCCGAGCGUUAUCCGGAUUUAUUGGGUUUAAAGGGAGCGUAGAUGGGUUGUUAAGUCAGUUGUGAAAGUUUGCGGCUCAACCGUAAAAUUGCAAUUGAUACUGGCAGUCUAGAGUACAGUUGAGGUAGGCGGAAUUCGUGGUGUAGCGGUGAAAUGCUUAGAUAUCACGAAGAACCCCGAUUGCGAAGGCAGCUUACUAAACUGUGACUGACAUUGAUGCUCGAAAGUGUGGGUAUCAAACAGGAUUAGAUACCCCAGUAGUC
rnacentral:rRNA from 1 species